CACCGCCCGUCACACCAUGGGAGUCAGUUGCCUCUAGAAGUCGGUGCGCCAACCUCGGAGGCAGCCGCCUAAAGAGUGACUGGUGACUGGGGUGAAGUCGUAACGAAGGUACC
rnacentral:rRNA from 1 species